GAAGCCUUUCAAAGUUCACUUCAGAGUGGACCCUGGAGGCAGAAAUAGAGUGCUCCCCUGUAUUUCCACAAACAGAGUGUGGUGAGCCUGCUAGGAGCACGUCCCUCGGACACUGAAGGGGCAGAGCGUGGGCCCAUCCAGCCAGGGCUGGUUUGCAGGUGUGUAGCCGGCAGGCUUUGCCCAGCUACCUGCAAGUCUGGGAUACCUUACAGGAGGUUGGAGACAUGGCCUCCUGUCCCCAUCUGCCAUCUUGCCUGAAGUUGGGGAUAAACAAGUUCUCCAUCAGGCUCAGAUGAAUAUCUUUGGAAGUUGUUCCAGACACUGGCCAUCUGGUUCCAAAAUAUAUGUUCUCUUCCCAGAUUACAUUUCCCAUUCUCACUUGCAGAUGGCAUCUGGAGAUUGAUUCCUGAACCUGCUUCUUGGCUCUGAAUCAAGCUCUUCUGACCUGGUAAGAUGCGGUUCCUUCCAAAGUUAUGGCCUAGGCAGAAAGUAACAUGUGGUGGGAAAGAGCAUGGGCCUCACCAGGCUUGAAGUGAGUUCCCGCCUCCAUAGGCAAGUUACUCAGCCUCUCUGUGCCCAUUUCUUUAUGUGUGAAUUGUGAUUGUAUAGCAUCCAUGUUGUGAGACCCAUGGCAUAAUGGAACACAGGGAUAAUAUUUGUAAAUUACUUGGACAGUGCUUGCACAUGCAUUAUUCUUCCUAUACUUAGAUUAGAAGUCAGUGGGGCUAAGUGGACCCCGUCCCUGUGGUCAAUAGCACUGUUUUAGUUUCCCCAUGGAAGGGGCAGGUGACAGUGGUCUGAAGAUGUGUUUGGAUCCUGGCCUAUGAGGAGAAUGGUCACCUGGUUGUGGGGGUGCUCACCCGGAGCCUUUGCAGUCUCAGGGGACCACAAGUCGGCACGCCCUUGGCCUUCUGAGAAGACUUCUGAUGCUCUGUCCAGAUGGCCCUCCAUCAGAUGGGAGCUUCAGCCCUCGAUUAGAGCCUCCCUUCAAAGGCAAAGUAACCCCUGAGCAAGGGAGAGUAGCCCUAUGUUGACUGUUGGGCCCCCAAAGGCCAUUUCUGGAGGGGACCUGGGGUGGAACCCAGGAGAUUCUGGGCUGCACUGAUUGCCUAGGUGGGAGGAAAUGUGGCAUUCACUCGGCCUUUGGAGGCGGACACCACUGACUAUGCACAAGGCCUCAGGCAGCUGCCCCACCCAGGGGCUCUUGCUUAGCCACUUCUGAAAGCCUCUAACCCUCUCUUCCUCAUCUAUAACAAGGGACUGUCGAUGGUACUUACUGCUGGUGAUAGUUGUGAGGCCUGGCUGGGAUCAUAAUGUCCACAGAGAUGCUUUAUGUCAUGGAAACAUGCAGUAUAUUUCUGAAAACAUUUUUUUUCCCCAAAUAUAGAAUAGAUAUAGGU